GACGAACGCUGGCGGCGUGCUUAACACAUGCAAGUCGAACGGAAAGGCCUGCUUUCCCUUGUGGAUUGCGGGUACUCGAGUGGCGAACGGGCGAGUAACACGUGAGUGAUCUGCCCCCAACUUGGGUAUAAGCCUGGGAAACUGGGUCUAAUUCCCGAUAGGACUGCAGGGUGGUGCCUGUGGUGGAAAACGAUUUUCUAGUGGUUGGGGAUGAGCUCGCGGCCUAUCAGCUUGUUGGUGGGGUAAUGGCCUACCAAGGCGGCGACGGGUAGCCGGCCUGGGAGGGUGGACGGCCACAUUGGGACUGAGAUACGGCCCAGACUCCUACGGGAGGCAGCAGUGGGGAAUAUGGCACAAUGGGCGGAAGCCUGAUGCAGCGACGCCGCGUGGGGGAUGACGGCCUUCGGGUUGUAAACUCCUUUCGACCGCGAGGAAGCCACCUGGUUGGAAGGGUGGUGACGGUAGUGGUAGAAGAAGCACCGGCUAACUACGUG
rnacentral:rRNA from 1 species